rnacentral:lncRNA from 1 species
AGGUGCCCACAGCAGAAUCCACAUGCAGUACAUCUGGUCCAGCUACAGCCCCAGGCAGAGCCACAACUGUGCUGGCGCCUGGAGCUGCCAGCCCCACUGCAGCAGCCGGACUGACAUUCAGACAUGGAGCAAGUUGGACUGCAUAGGGACCCACCUCUGAGAUUAACACUGUCUGUAAGGAGUUCUCCAGGGAGGCUGCUCUGCCAAGUCUGGUAUUUCAUGAAUAGAUCUGAAAAGAGACAUUAUCUCUUCUCCCAGUGAAGAGAGAGUGAUGAAGGCUCAGGACAAAAGGAGGCAGUGGGAUGAUGCCACCAAGGGACCAUUCUGAAGAGCCAUCAGCAAAAAGC